rnacentral:rRNA from 1 species
CAACGAAUCUUCCCCAAUGCCGGAAACGGUGAGGGAGCGACGCCGCGUGAAGGACGAAGUUCUUCGGAAUGUAAACUUCUGCAAGGGUCAUGAAAGCCUUAGGGCUAAUAUCCCAAAAGGUUGAUCUGACCCCUAAAAGGGGCGGCUAACUCUGUGCCAGCAGCCGCGGUAAUACAGAGGCCCCAAGCGUUACUGAGAAUCACUGGGUUUAAAGGGGGCGUAGGUGGCGCGUUAAGUCCGUUGUGAAAGCCCUGGGCUCAACCCAGGAACUGCGUCGGAUACUGG